AUGUUAUACUGAUUUGUCCAUGACAGCAAAAUGACAUAAACAUCAAUACAAAGAGGUAUUUGUCCAUGACCGCAAAAUGACAUAAACAUCAUAACAAAAAACAGCAAAAUGACCCUAAGUGAAACUAGGCUUGAGAUGGUUAUGUAUUUUGUGAUGUAUGUGAUGAGCUUUCGAUCUUUGUUGCACAUGUCUUUUUUUUCUUCUUAUUUCCACCCUUUGAUGCACAUGACUCCUCUUCUU
rnacentral:lncRNA from 1 species